AAGUGCACAUGGUGGAUGCCUUGGCGAUAUCAGGCGAUGAAGGACGUAGUAGCUUGCGAUAAGCUGCGGGGAGCUAGCAAACAAGCUUUGAUCCGCAGAUUUCCGAAUGGGGAAACCCGGCCCUCUGGGUCAUCACUCACUGAAUACAU
rnacentral:rRNA from 1 species